UACAAGUCCAUCAGACGGUCCGAUCUUCACAUAUCACAAAUCGAACGAUCGAACUCGAUCAAAAACGUAAAAAUUCAUAACUUAAUCAUACGAUCUCCAAAAAUUAUGAAUUAUAUAUGCAAACGAUCGUAUCGACACGUAGAACACAAAAAUGGACAGAAACAGUCGUUGGGGUGGCCGGAGGUUGCCGGAAACCACCAUCACAGUAGCGGCACCGCCGCCCAUCCAAAGUCAAAAUUAGACAGAACUUACAACAUGAAAGUUCUUCAUCCUAACUCCAAUUGCAACUUUCAUAACUACACCAAAAUCAAAAUUCAAGUCUAGAGGCUGAAAUUUACCUCAAGAAGUGUAAUACCCCGAAAAAUCCAAAUUAAUUUCCGAUGACAUUUUAGAAUGAUUUCGUAGUCAUGGAAGGAAGUACGAAGCUUUAAGGAGUUGUGGAUUUAGCUCGAACAAUUUUAUUUCGAAAUCGUAUGUGAUUUAGGGGGUCUCAAAAAGUGACUUUUUUAUGUACCUAAUUUGGGAAAACUUCCUUCACGAAAGUUGUAGAGCUCGUCGAUACGAUCGCGUGCAUAUGUGGAACGCAAAAAUUGGAGCUUGUAUGAAUUAGUUAUGAUUUUUUGAAAAAGUUCCAAUUUAGUAUAAAUAUUCCAUUUUCGGAAAUUCCGAAAAUCAUUUUCAGAAAAUCAAAUUUCGAUCGGCUGCAGCCCUCCCCGCCGGAAAUCGCCAGUUUUCUUCUCCAACGAUUUUCUCCCUCCUCAGGAGAGCAUUUGAGGUGAAACAAAGCCCAGAAUAGAUCGCCGCUUCCCCACGAACAGCCUGGUGCCCUCAUCUCCUCCUCAGACUGCGGCUUCACGGCGGUGGAGCUCGGUUUCGAUUUAAACCCGAAAUCGAAUCAACGCCGAUAUCUCACUUUUACGGCCACCAUUCUUCGAUUUCUUUGGCUUAUUGAACUCGCCUUGAGCUUCUGAACACAUUAUGCGAAGGAUCGGGCCAAGUUGUUGAAGUUUUUACGUUGAUCGGAGCUUCGCCGGUUUCUGGAAAUUUUCCGGCCAAACCGUGGAUUCUAGGUGAUUGACGGUCUUCCUUGGUGAGCGGUUUUGGCGUGUUUUGUGAAAUUGAAGACGCAGCGGGAUUAGAGCGGGUAAUCCUACAGGUCAGGAGAAUCGAGAAGGUGAUCAGGCUGCUUAGAGUAGUGAGAUUGGAGUUACAGCUUUAGUGUGAGGUUGUUAUACUCAUUGAGCUUACAUUUAAAUUUGGUGAGAGCGUGUUGUAUUAUUAAAUUCUUGAGGAUUUGGUUUAUGUAUUAGUGAGUGAGGCUAGAUGUGUUUAUAUCUAAGAAAAAAAUUCAGAACGAUUAUUUGAUUAAGUUGUUUAUUUCAUGUUUCGGAUUUGAAUUUAUUAUUCAAAAUUCGGGGCGUGACAAGAAGAAAGAGGCCGAAAUCGCCCAAAAUCGCUCAAAUCCGAAAUUCGUCUUCCUCGGUUUGAAUCGAGAUGUGAAACUUGGUCAGUUUGUAGAGCAUGGCAAGGCGAACAAAGCCCAGUUGGUCUCCCCUCCUACUUUUGCCGGAGUUGGCCGGAAUUUGAAGUAAUGCCAGAAAAGUGGUCUGACCUUCUUUGCUUCGAUUCGUUGUCUAUGGUGAAUGAUCGGAUGCAAGGCAUAUAUAAAUGGAAAGCUGGUUUCAAGACGAAGAGAUUGAUAUCAAUUUCAUGGCCAUAGGUGGCCGGAUGAAGUCGUGGCGACGCCGUGAAGCCAAGGCAGCGAUUUCCGUCGGUUUUUUGAGAGAGAGUUGCAGUUUCCAAAAUUGGAAACUGAAUGUAUUUUUGGAAAAUUACCAAAAAUGGAAGCUUUUAUAAUAAACUGGAAACUUUUUCAAAAAAUCAUAAUUAAUUCAUACGAACUCCGAUUUUUGCGUUCCACAUAUGCACGCGAUCGUAUCGAUGAGCUCUACAACUUUCAUGAAGGAAGUUUUCCCAAAUUCGGUACGUAUAAAAAGUCACUUUUUGAGACGCCCCUAAAUAACGUACGAUUUCGAAAUAAAAUUGUUCGAGCUAAAUUCACAACUCCUCAAAGCUUCGUACUUCCUUCCAUGACUACGAAAUCAUUUCCAAAAUGUCCCCGAAAAAUAAAUUGAAUUUUCGGGGUAUUACAAAACGAUGCUUUUUAUAUGCCGCAACGGUGCUGCUACCUGAGCCUUAUCGUCGCCGUCGUCGGUGUACUUUCUUUUCCGGCUUUCUAGAAUAAUCGGAGAUUCGGCCAUGGCAGCUAAGCCGCUAGGGUUUUGGGUAGCAUUUGAGCUCUGGGUUUUGGAUAUUUGGUCAGUGGUAAUACCCGUAAAUUAUGAUGAAACUCGAGCAUUUUGGUCAUUUUUCAUUAAAAUUAAAUGUUAUGCUUGCAUCAUUUGGCUUUUGGGUCUGGGCUUAUGUCCUUAUUUGUAUAAAUCUUUUUGAA